UAAAUUAGUUGAAAUACAAAUUCGUCAGAUUAUUAAAUUAGAUUUUAUUUUAGCCUUGUGUGCACGCAGUUACUAUGAUUACUACUACUACUACUACAAAAUCAAAAAGAAUUAUGUAGAAAAACAUUAUUUGCGUGGGUGGUAAUCGUUCUCACAGCAACAAUGCUUUUCUCAGUACAUGAGAUGUACCAGUUAAAAUAAUCUUUUGUAUUUCUUGCAGGAAUGGUAAGCCAGGGAUUUUUCUCAAAUAAUUUUCGCUUCAUUUUUACCAUUUCUAAUGCCCCUACAAUCACUGGUAUUGUAACUGCUUUAAGAUAGUAUUUUGAUUUCA